rnacentral:rRNA from 1 species
GAUGAACGCUGGCGGCGUGCUUAACACAUGCAAGUCGAACGGAAAGGCCCAAGCUUGCUUGGGUACUCGAGUGGCGAACGGGUGAGUAACACGUGGGUGAUCUGCCCUGCACUUCGGGAUAAGCCUGGGAAACUGGGUCUAAUACCGGAUAGGACCACAUUUUGGAUGGUGUGGUGGAAAGUUUUUCGGUGUGGGAUGAGCUCGCGGCCUAUCAGCUUGUUGGUGGGGUAAUGGCCUACCAAGGCGUCGACGGGUAGCCGGCCUGAGAGGGUGUACGGCCACAUUGGGACUGAGAUACGGCCCAGACUCCUACGGGAGGCAGCAGUGGGGAAUAUUGCACAAUGGGCGCAAGCCUGAUGCAGCGACGCCGCGUGGGGGAUGACGGCCUUCGGGUUGUAAACUCCUUUCGCUAGGGACGAAGCGUUAUUGUGACGGUACCUGGAGAAGAAGCACCGGCUAACUACGUG